rnacentral:rRNA from 1 species
AGCGAACGCUGGCGGCAGGCCUAACACAUGCAAGUCGAACGGGCUCUUCGGAGCUAGUGGCGGACGGGUGAGUAACACGUGGGAACGUGCCUUUAGGUUCGGAAUAAGCCCGGGAAACUGGGUCUAAUACCGGAUGUGCCCUUCGGGGGACAGAUUUAUCGCCUUUAGAGCGGCCCGCGUCUGAUUAGCUAGUUGGUGGUGUAAUGGACCACCAAGGCGACGAUCAGUAGCUGGUCUGAGAGGAUGAUCAGCCACAUUGGGACUGAGACACGGCCCAAACUCCUACGGGAGGCAGCAGUGGGGAAUCUUGCGCAAUGGGCGAAAGCCUGACGCAGCCAUGCCGCGUGAAUGAUGAAGGUCUUAGGAUUGUAAAAUUCUUUCACCGGGGACGAUAAUGACGGUACCCGGAGAAGAAGCCCCGGCUAACUUCGUGCCAGCAGCCGCAGUAACAC